UCUUAGACCUCAGUUAAGGGUUGACUGUUGCUGGGGAGGAUCUUUUUCUGGAUUUCCCUCUUUAGUGGUAUUUUCCCCUCUGAGCAUAGCUCUUUGGACACAGUGCCUCAAGUUCUCAUCUGUAACAACACAAAUCCAAUACGCCAUAAACAUGUUUAAAUGGCCUUUACAGUUUUACCAGCCUGAGUGGGAAGGAGCUGCUACAGAAAUCAGUCUUCACAGGAAGAGAAGUGAUCUCAUAGACAGCAAAGGAAAAGUGAGUCUGUAGCAUUUAAUACACUCAGUCAUGGACGUGGAGACUGAGAACUACAACCAGCUCAGGAUUGUCAGGUACAUGGUAUGGGACAGGAAGCCAGGAAGAGUCUUCUAAAAGAGCAGUCACCACUGAAAUCUGAAAAGGGACAGCAUGUGACAGAAUCAUUAUCUUAGUUCCCCUUCUUUAUUAGAAAAAUUGUUAUUUGUCAUUAUUGGUUUGCUUAGGCAACUUGUACAUCACCACAUCACAAAACUACUUGUGAGAGUGAGUUAAAGCCUUUACUUUAUGAUGUACUCCAUAUUUUUUUCUUUCUUUUUUUUCUGUUUUCUUUUUUGUCUCUCCACCUCCUGAUUGUUGCCAUGGAAGCUGCCACUUCAUUUCUGUUAUACUCCCUUAAACACCUGUUAAUCCUCUGACCUUUCCUGCAGGCUUGAUCCCUUGAUCACCCCCAGUGCUGGCAGUGAAAGUACAGAAAGAUGACAAUAUUCGUUGUUGCAAGGCCUGCGUGUUCCCACUCCCACACUUUUAAUUAUCCUGUGCCAUUAUAUUGCUAUGAUGUUGUCACUUAACUUCCCAGAGAGAUGCCGUGCUGCCUUGUUAGAUUAGGACAAAUUUAAAUAAAUCUGUUUAAAUCUGAUUCUAAUUCCUCAGAGAAUUUUCUCUCUCUUCCUCAAAUCUUUAAGGCCUUGAUGAAUGCUUUGUGCUUGAGUAUUGAAAUGUUUUUCGCUAAUGAUUUUCAAAACCAAAUUGGCUUGACACACAGUGAGUCACUAAAUACUGAUACCAAUUUUACUUAAAAUACCAAAGUGCCAGAUGACAAAAGCCAGAACAAUUAAGACAAAAUAUUUACAUGUUACUCUGUUACUGUGUCUUUCCUACCUUGAUAAGGUGGUCAUCAUUAUUGUCUUUUUAUUGUUUUUAGAAAUCACAGGCAAAUAUUUCAGUCUGACAGUAAUAUAAAGACUCCAAAACAUUAGUUUUGGAGUAAGCGAAUGUUGCACUGUGUGAGUAGCAUUAAUCUUAACUGCAUUCAUUUGUUGUAAAAGCUGGUGGAAAUUUCUGAGAUAUUUAACACAUAAAAGCCUCUUAGUUCACCAGCUCAAUUUUCUUAGUUUUAGUUUUUAGGAUGUCUUAUCUACAUGAUUGUACGUUUUCAGAUGUUUGAUUUUCUUUAAGGGUAGUGUUAGCAGAAUUUCCGAUAUUGUCAAAUAAAUAUGAGAAACAACUUUCCAUUCAUGAAAAAAGAGAAGUUGUAUUUCAAGUUUUGUAUCAUUUGGGCCUCAGACUAGCAGUUUCUUUAAAUCAACUUUGACUUGUUAAUCUUAAUUAAAAAUAUUUUUUUAAUGCUCAUUUGAAUGUAUAUUUCUCUACACAGCAGUAUAACUUAGCAGUACUAGCUCUAGUGCACCUGGAACAGAUGUUGUCUUAAAACAAAUACUGAGCACUAACCUUUCUUUCCUCUCUCCAAUUCCAACUCUUCAUGUAGCUAGUAGCAGAUAAAUUUAGUUUCCAGGUUACCAGUGAACCAGAUGGUAACACACAGAAAAUGAAGAGGAAAAACAUGUCUUCUUUACACUUAUUUAAUUAUGUUUUCCUUCUGCUCGUCAAAUAAGUUAUACAUAACUUGUGAUAAAAACACAUUCCUGAAACAAGACAUCGUUUUUAAAAUGUUGGUAAAAUACCUAUAUAAGUUUUGAGAUGUAAAUUCCUAACUGUUAAAACGUGCUGUCAUGCAAUAUAACAACAUUUAAUACAUGCAACCAUGUAAUUAGGCAUAAUGACUAGUGAUCAUUGUGUAUGCUGAUAGCAGGGAUAAGGGGAGGCUGUGGUAUGUUCAGCUGGUCCUCUGCACCUGCAGAAAGCAGAAAACUCUUCUCACUGUGGAGGAAACAAGAUAAUGACAGUAUGAUAUUAAAUGCAAACAUUAAUUCUUUGGAGUAAAAUACAUGGAAGUAGUCUAUCAAUUAAGAUGCGUUAUUGUGAACUCUGAAAUUGUGUUGCCUGUCAUCUUAAGGAAAAUAAAGGACUAGUGGAAUGAAAUGCUUAAUUCACUGUUUACCACAUAGCUGUUAAAUCUAUUAUUUCUACUUUGGAGAAGAUUUAUAUUAGUAUUUAAGCUUCUAUCUGUGAUAAACUCUCUACAUACAUAAUA